CUGAGCACUCCUACGGGAGGCAGCAGUGGGGAAUAUUGCACAAUGGGCGCAAGCCUGAUGCAGCCAUGCCGCGUGUAUGAAGAAGGCCUUCGGGUUGUAAAGUACUUUCAGCAGUGAGGAAGGUGGAUAUGUUAAUAGCAUAUUCAUUUGACGUUAGCUGCAGAAGAAGCACCGGCUAACUCCGUGCCAGCAGCCGCGGUAAUACGGAGGGUGCGAGCGUUAAUCGGAAUUACUGGGCGUAAAGCGCAUGCAGGUGGUUUGUUAAGUCAGAUGUGAAAGCCCGGGGCUCAACCUCGGAAUUGCAUUUGAAACUGGCAAACUAGAGUACUGUAGAGGGGGUAGAAUUUCAGGUGUAGCGGUGAAAUGCGUAGAGAUCUGAAGGAAUACCGGUGGCGAAGGCGGCCCCCUGGACAGAUACUGACACUCAGAUGCGAAAGCGUGGGGAGCAAACAGGAUUAGAUACCCUGGUAG
rnacentral:rRNA from 1 species